UAACUUGAGAGUUUGAUCAUGGCUCAGAACGUACGCUGGCGGCACGCCUAACACAUGCAAGUCGAACGAAGUAGCAAUACUUAGUGGCAGACGGGUGAGUAACAUGUAGGUAUCUACCCUUUGGCCUGGAAUAACACGAGGAAACUUGUGCUAAUACCGGAUAAGUCUUUACAGAGAAAGCUUUAUGCACCAUUGGAUGAGCCUGCACUUGAUUAGUUUGUUGGUGGGGUAAUGGCCUACCAAGACUAUGAUCAAUAGCUGAUUUGAGAGGAUGAUCAGCCACAUUGGGACUGAGACACGGCCCAAACUCCUACGGGAGGCAGCAGUGGGGAAUCUUGCACAAUGGAGGAAACUCUGAUGCAGCGAUGCCGCGUGAGUGAAGAAGGCCUUUGGGUUGUAAAGCUCUUUCGUCGGGGAAGAAAAUGACUGUACCCGAAUAAGAAGGUCCGGCUAACUUCGUGCCAGCAGCCGCGGUAAUACGAAGGGACCUAGCGUAGUUCGGAAUUACUGGGCUUAAAGAGUUCGUAGGUGGUUGAAAAAGUUGGUGGUGAAAUCCCAGAGCUUAACUCUGGAACUGCCAUCAAAACUUUUCAGCUAGAGUAUGAUAGAGGAAAGCAGAAUUUCUAGUGUAGAGGUGAAAUUCGUAGAUAUUAGAAAGAAUACCAAUUGCGAAGGCAGCUUUCUGGAUCAUUACUGACACUGAGGAACGAAAGCAUGGGUAGCGAAGAGGAUUAGAUACCCUCGUAGUCCAUGCCGUAAACGAUGUGUGUUAGACGUUGGAAAUUUAUUUUCAGUGUCGCAGCGAAAGCGAUAAACACACCGCCUGGGGAGUACGACCGCAAGGUUAAAACUCAAAUGAAUUGACGGGGACCCGCACAAGUAGUGGAGCAUGUGGUUUAAUUCGAAGAUACGCGCAGAACCUUACCAACACUUGACAUGUUCGUCGCGACUCUAAGAGAUUAGAGUUUUCGGUUCGGCCGGACGAAACACAGGUGCUGCAUGGCUGUCGUCAGCUCGUGUCGUGAGAUGUUGGGUUAAGUCCCGCAACGAGCGCAACCCUCACUUUUAGUUGCCAUCAUUAAGUUGGGCACUCUGAAAGAACUGCCAGUGAUAAGCUGGAGGAAGGUGGGGAUGACGUCAAGUCCUCAUGGCCCUUACGUGUUGGGCUACACACGUGCUACAAUGGUAUCUACAACAGGAAGCAAAACGGCAACGUUAAGCAAAUCCCGAAAAGAUACCUCAGUUCGGAUUGCACUCUGCAACUCGAGUGCAUGAAGCUGGAAUUACUAGUAAUCGUGGAUCAGCGUGCCACGGUGAAUGCGUUCCCGGGUCUUGUACACACCGCCCGUCACACCAUGGGAGUUGGUUCUACCUUAAGGCAAGGUUUUAAACCCUUGACCACGGUAUAGUCAGCGACUGGGGUGAAGUCGUAACAAGGUAGCCGUAGGGGAACCUGCGGCUGGAUUACCUCCUUU
rnacentral:rRNA from 1 species